rnacentral:ncRNA from 1 species
CGGCAAGAUAUGUGUUGUGGGCCUACGCGCAAGUGCGAAGUCCUCCAACACUCCCCCUUACUCGCCAUUGGCUCGACGGCAUCUUGCUCUGCGAGGCU